rnacentral:rRNA from 1 species
AUUGAACGCUGGCGGCAGGCCUAACACAUGCAAGUCGAGCGAGUGGCGGACGGGUGAGUAAUGUCUGGGAAUCUGCCUGAUGGAGGGGGAUAACUACUGGAAACGGUAGCUAAUACCGCAUACCAUCAGAUGUGCCCAGAUGGGAUUAGCUUGUUGGUGGGGUAAAGGCUCACCAAGGCGACGAUCCCUAGCUGGUCUGAGAGGAUGACCGGCCACACUGGAACUGAGACACGGUCCAGACUCCUACGGGAGGAAGCAGUGGGGAAUAUUGCACAAUGGGCGCAAGCCUGAUGCAGCCAUGCCGCGUGUAUGAAGAAGGCCUUCGGGUUGUAAAGUACUUUCAGCGGGGAGGCGUUACCCGCAGAAGAAGCACCGGCUAACUCCGUGCCAGCAGCCGCGGUAAUUC